CUCCUUCACUGUCUGCGUUGAAGCUACACUCUGCAGCAUGUGGCUCUCACAGGGCAUGAUACUUCUAUAUCUAAAUAUGAAGUUUGCUGCAGACGAACCACCCUGAAAAGGCACUUUUCCUCUUGCGGAAUGAAGCUAAUCUUCCUACAACAGAUGCGAAGUCCUUCUUCGUAAUGAAAGGUUCACGUGGGUCCUCGUUGACACUGGCUGAAAAUGAGGAGGCCUGGUGAAAGGUUCUUGAGGGUCGUCGGUGGGAAAGGAUGCGGGCCUGGUGAAAGGUCCCGAUCAGUAAUGAAAGCCUAUGACGUCCCUCUGGUGCUGAAAAAAGUUGCUCAGAACAAAUGUAAGGAGAAACCGAUUGGAUUGAUCCAGAAGUCAGACUCUUCAGUAGAUUUGUUGGUGUACAAAUUAAAUACAAUGUUUUCUCUAAAACGUGUUUAAUAAAAUUGUUUGUAUAAAACAUUGAAGUACAAUGGCACAUCGAAAGUAACAUGAAUCUUAUUGCAUGCAUUGGUCAAUCUGUGUUGAAGGUCGAUCUGUAAGAUUUCUUCUUUAAAUUCUCCAAGAACACUUGCUCUUCUUGGAGGUAUUCACGGUCCUGUGGGGAGGUGGAGAAGGAAUUAUAAUGAAGAAACUCAAUGUUAAAAUGUACUGAUGAAUGUGACUGUGGCAUUUUGCUCCUAUUGACAAUAAAAACCUCAAUAUCAA